GCUCAUUAAAUCAGUUAUCGUUUAUUUGAUAGUUUCUUUACUACAUGGAAUACCUGUGGUAAUUCUAGAGCUAAUACAUGCUUAAAAUCCCAACUUACGAAGGGAUGUAUUUAUUAGAUAAAAAAUCAAUGUCUUCGGACUUCUGAUGAUUCAUAAUAACUUUUCGAAUCGCAUGGCUUUAUGCUGGCGAUGGUUCAUUCAAAUUUCUGCCCUAUCAACUUUUGAUGGUAGGAUAGUGGCCUACCAUGGUUUCAACGGGUAACGGGGAAUAAGGGUUCGAUUCCGGAGAGGGAGCCUGAGAAACGGCUACCACAUCCAAGGAAGGCAGCAGGCGCGCAAAUUACCCAAUCCUAAUUCAGGGAGGUAGUGACAAUAAAUAACGAUACAGGGCUUUAUGUCUUGUAAUUGGAAUGAGUACAAUUUAAAUACCUUAACGAGGAACAAUUGGAGGGCAAGUCUGGUGCCAGCAGCCGCGGUAAUUCCAGCUCCAAUAGCGUAUAUUAAAGUUGUUGCAGUUAAAAAGCUCGUAGUUGAACUUUGGGCUUGGAGAAUCGGUCCAACUUUGUUGUGUACUGUCUUCUCCAGGUCUUUCCUUCUGGUUCUCAUUUGGGGUUUACUUCCAUUUGUUGAUCCAGGAUUUUUACUUUGAAAAAAUUAGAGUGUUCAAAGCAGGCGUUUUGCUCGAAUAUAUUAGCAUGGAAUAAUAGAAUAGGACGAUUGGUUCUAUUUUGUUGGUUUCUAGGACCAUCGUAAUGAUUAAUAGGGACGGUCGGGGGCAUCAGUAUUCAGUUGUCAGAGGUGAAAUUCUUGGAUUUACUGAAGACUAACUACUGCGAAAGCAUUUGUCAAGGACGUUUUCAUUAAUCAAGAACGAAAGUUAGGGGAUCGAAGAUGAUCAGAUACCGUCGUAGUCUUAACCAUAAACUAUGCCGACUAGGGAUCGGGCGGUGCCUUUUAUUGGCCCACUCGGCACCUUACGAGAAAUCAAAGUUUUUGGGUUCUGGGGGGAGUAUGGUCGCAAGGCUGAAACUUAAAGGAAUUGACGGAAGGGCACCACCAGGAGUGGAGCCUGCGGCUUAAUUUGACUCAACACGGGGAAACUCACCAGGUCCAGACACAAUAAGGAUUGACAGAUUGAGAGCUCUUUCUUGAUUUUGUGGGUGGUG
rfam:Hanseniaspora uvarum DSM 2768 Contig_298, whole genome shotgun sequence.